rnacentral:lncRNA from 1 species
CACAUACGAUUGUAACCUACGGGACCUCGCCAACCUGCCUAAACCCUGUCCCAUCACACACACAUACGAUUGUGACCUAGACCAGAAGUCUGCUAUAACUUGCGAUUUGACGCGCGCCAUUACCGUACUGCGUUCCCAUACAAGUUAUGGAUGCGAAUUACAAUUGAAGGGACAGUCCGACAAGCGGGGGUACACCGUACCCACGCCGCGAGGGACCGUCUCCGGCCCAGAGAGAAACACCCACCCCCUGGUUGACUGCCGACCUUCAUAGCGGUACGCGCAUGAGUCGAAGCCAAGCCGAAGCCCGCCAAAGCCCCACCGCCACGUAACACCCCUCAUCUCGUUUAGGUCUUUUGGCGGCAGCGCCAACGCAAAACAAGGCACGACAGGCCAGUGGUCUGCCGACAGCCCCAUCAAACGCAAGCACCACACAAAUAUCACGUCCGAAGACGAUGGCUGGCGUCAGAGACGCGCAAUGUCUUGGCCCGAAGGCCCAUGUCUGAUAGUCUGUGCCGAGGCACAACUGGAACCGGAAGCCAAGCCGAAACACCACCAAGCCACAGCACACCACAGCCCCUCGCAAAGGGCGCACCACCCACCAUCCGUCCAACCAACGACCCAGGCCGACCCUCCACACAAGCCCCAGCGGCACUCGGAGACGAGAAGAGCCAACAGUCGCCCGGGCGCCCGGGCAACAGCCGCCCGUGCACACACACCCCAAACCCGGGACUACCCGACUGCGGUCACCACGCGCCUACCGGUCCGUGAACCGUAUGCUGCGAGCUAAAACCCCCAGGGCUAAA